AUCGCUAGUAAUCGUGGAUCAGAAUGCCACGGUGAAUACGUUCCCGGGCCUUGUACACACCGCCCGUCACACCAUGGGAGUGGGUUGCAAAAGAAGUAGGUAGCUUAACCUUCGGGAGGGCGCUUACCACUUUGUGAUUCAUGACUGGGGUGAAGUCGUAACAAA
rnacentral:rRNA from 1 species